AGCUCCAAUAGUGUAUAUUAAAGUUGCUGCGGUUAAAAAGCUCGUAGUUGGAUUUCGGGGGUAAGGGAUAAGAGUUAUUCAUUGAAUAAUUUAGUUCCUGCUUCCUAUUUUAGGAUAGAUUUCAUUAUCUUCCUAUCAUUUACUUUGAAAAAAUUAGAGUGUUCAAAGCAAGAUUUUUAUAUCUUUUGAAUAUUACAGCAUGGGAUAAUAGAAUAUGACAUUUAGUUUAUAUUUUAUUGGUUUCUAAAAGCUAAUGUGUAAUGAUUAAUAGGGAUAGUUGGGGUCGCUCGUAUUGAGUUGUCAGAGGUGAAAUUCUAGGAUUUACUCAAGACGAACUAAUGCGAAAGCAUUCGACAAGGAUGUUUUCA
rnacentral:rRNA from 1 species